UAUAGAUACGUCCAGUUACCUUGGAUUCAGACUAGAGAGCAGGUCAUUUCACUGUGCCUCUUUUCAUAACUCCCCAUUUAUCCAAGCAGGUAUCACAAGAGAAGCCAAAUGUGAUAUCAGGAUGAAAUUGAGAAAAUAAGCAAUUAUUUGACCAAACUCAGAAGCUAAAAAACACCCACUCAGUCAGGAUUAACAUAUGCAGGGCUUGACAUCAGUUCUUGAACAAGGAAUUACCUGGAUUACUAAAGUAUUUUCACAACAGCUUUCUCCACACAGCUAAUGAAUCAUUCACUUAUUGAUUUCUCCAUAAUGAACUUAACAUUUUUCUUCACGGUUUUGAUUUAUGAGAAGACACAAGCCAGUGAAGAGGAGGAAGAGCUGGGAAUCUUUUGGCCAUGAGGAGUCUACUUCAGCAUCCAUCAUCAUAUCAGCAAUCACCCCAUUUUUCCCACUAAAACUACAAGGUGAGACGGGAUCUCCCGCACCACCGCACAGCCUCGCUGCUCCCAAGGACAGAAUACAAUCCCUGACUUCUUAAACUGAGCUGAUUCUGUUUCCUUGAGGACAAAACACGUGUUAACAAGGCGCUGACACCCAGAGACUUCAGUGCACUUCACAAAGGCCAUUAAUACCUCUGACAACGUAGGCAGCAUUUGUGAGCUCCAUCACACCUCCAUCGCAGAAGGCUGCAGCCUCAGGAGAGGCGACAGGCAAGGGAGCAGGGACACAAAGAAAGGAAAUUACUUUUUUCAAGACAGCAAAAGGCAAAUUUGAGGCUGUAACACAGAGCCCCAGCCCAGAUCUCCAACCAUUAAUAGCUGGCUUUCAUCUCUGAAAGACUACUCACCCUUUUUCACAUGUGAGCAAACUCCAGGCACUGUGGAUACCUGCUGUAAGUGCACAGCAGGUUGCUGGCACAAAAGGAAUGUGAAUUUUAAGUCCUGCUUCUCAAAAACCAAGAUAAAUCAAUCUUGGCAUCCACAAGAAAGGGGAGCUGUUAGUAGCCAGGGCAGCUCUCACAGAUGAUGUCCCCUGGGAAACCAUCUCACCACAGGCCCUCUAUGGUGGGAACAGCAAAGUCCUAGAUGAUAUCCUUGGCAAAGCAAGGUAUCUCAGCACACUUCCUAUCCCCAGGAUCACCGAUCACUCUAGCUGGAGACACGUCAUCACCAGCGACUGUGCAACAUCUGACCACUCAGACGACAAAAGACAGAUUCCCAGAAUGAGCAGAGCAGGAUUAAGCCAAGUGCUAAAUGGAUUCCAGGGCUGCUCCAGAAUCCGUGCUGACGAGGGAAGCCAGUGCCAGGAAGGAAUCCUAAAUGACAUGGAGACAAGGAGAAUAAACCGCAAGCCCAGGUUUAGUAAACUGUAUGAGAUGAACCUGAUGCAUUUCUUCAAUGAGACAGUUCAUUCCCUAGACAUGAGAAGCGUGGUACAAUCUCAUUUAUCUGGGUAUCAAGAGGCACCACAACAUGACAUGGGCAAUUAUUAGCAGGAACCCCUGCAGACAGAAACAAAGGAGGAGGAGGAGAAAUCCCUGGAUGCACUGGCUGGUCACAGCACAACUAUGUGUUGCCGUUGGAUGAGAGCUGGAGAAAUGGAAAGGAGAUUCUUGGACCAGCUUAGAAAGGCUCCUCCAGUUGAAAUACAGAAUAAUCAAAUCCUGCCCAUGGCAGUGAGGUUGGAACUGGAU